CUUUCUCCUCCUCCUGCACGCGCGUGUGAGUAACCGGAGCGCGGGAGAGCGGCGGGGAAUCGUGAGGACGGCGCCGUGUGUCUGCCGCUCCUAGGGAGCGGGCAGAAAUCCUCGGCUGGGCGCGGGAACCUCGCUGCUCGGGCGGCUUCAGGACUCGCUGCGACACGAACCGGCUCCGGCUCGCACGGAGGGACRGUGCCCUGCGCCAGUGCGCUUGGAUCUUCCCAGGGCCUUAGGAUCUUCCUCACGAGAGCCGUGUGUCUUUAACAUGGGUUUAAAAUGCCUCUCGUGCUUGCAGAGAGGGGAACGAAAAAAAYGGUUAAAUUCAUAAUGUUGGAUGAAUGGAAGCUCGUUUUCCAAGCGGGCUUUCCUUUGGAAGUCCAGGAGCGAGGAUGGCUGUUGGAGAAGGCGGCAGUUCGGCCCUGGCAGAGCUGGUAUCCGAUGGGUCAAUGCUCAUGGGAGUCUGAGCUUGAGUUUGUGUGCAUGGAGAAAGAAACGUGGGACUUUUCACAUUAACUCGCAUCAGAAGUGUGCUUGUUUAUGCGUUUACAGCUUCAAAUUAUCCAUUUGAAAUAAAGGGAAAUUACUGGUGUCUUAAACGAAGUACUUCAUAAGUCUUUGCACUUAAUAUACUGCAACUCUGUACGGCUGUGAGAAGAAUAUUCAUCUUUUUUGUGAGAAGAAUAGUUGUCUGGUCAUGACAUUAUUGCCUGUGUAGAAUUUACACACCCAUAUAUAUGCGGACAUACACAUCUGUGAAUUUAAAGGAAAAUAUGAUUGCAAAAUGGCAAACCUCCAUGGCAAAGCAUUACUUCAGCCUAUUUCUAACUUAUUAUUAACUUAUGUUGAUGGAGUCUUUAUGUGAUUAUAGUAAGAGAAAUGAUGGAUCAUCUCACAUUGUCAGUGGAAGAACUCUGAAAUCCAGAAACAGAUUUUCGUGGAUAUGCUUUACCAUAGUUGAACAGCUUCAGGAAGAAGGCAGGUUCCAUAAACAUAUUCAUCUGUGAUGAAAAGCUAUGAAAAUCUUGGCAUAAGAGCUACCUACCUGAAGAAACAACAGUUUGCCUUUCCAGAGAAGUCCAAUGCCUACAGAGGCAAGACAAGAUUGGAUUAUGUCUUUAAAUGGGAGGUGAAUGUCAAAUUUGCUUUCA